AGGCUUAACACAUGCAAGUCGAGCGCCCCGCAAGGGGAGCGGCAGACGGGUGAGUAACGCGUGGGAAUCUACCUUUUGCUACGGAAUAACGCAGGGAAACUUGUGCUAAUACCGUAUGUGUCCUUCGGGAGAAAGAUUUAUCGGCAAGAGAUGAGCCCGCGUUGGAUUAGCUAGUUGGUGGGGUAAAGGCCUACCAAGGCGACGAUCCAUAGCUGGUCUGAGAGGAUGAUCAGCCACAUUGGGACUGAGACACGGCCCAAACUCCUACGGGAGGCAGCAGUGGGGAAUAUUGGACAAUGGGCGCAAGCCUGAUCCAGCCAUGCCGCGUGAGUGAUGAAGGCCCUAGGGUUGUAAAGCUCUUUCACCGGAGAAGAUAAUGACGGUAUCCGGAGAAGAAGCCCCGGCUAACUUCGUGCCAGCAGCCGCGGUAAUACGAAGGGGGCUAGCGUUGUUCGGAAUUACUGGGCGUAAAGCGCACGUAGGCGGAUCGAUCAGUCAGGGGUGAAAUCCCAGGGCUCAACCCUGGAACUGCCUUUGAUACUGUCGAUCUGGAGUAUGGAAGAGGUGAGUGGAAUUCCGAGUGUAGAGGUG
rnacentral:rRNA from 1 species